rnacentral:rRNA from 1 species
AACGAACGCUGGCGGCAUGCCUAACACAUGCAAGUCGAACGAGACCUUCGGGUCUAGUGGCGCACGGGUGCGUAACGCGUGGGAACCUGCCCUUAGGUUCGGAAUAACUCCCCGAAAGGGGUGCUAAUACCGGAUAAUGUCUUCGGACCAAAGAUUUAUCGCCUUUGGAUGGGCCCGCGUUGGAUUAGCUAGUUGGUAGGGUAAAGGCCUACCAAGGCGACGAUCCAUAGCUGGUCUGAGAGGAUGAUCAGCCACACUGGGACUGAGACACGGCCCAGACUCCUACGGGAGGCAGCAGUGGGGAAUAUUGGACAAGGGGCGAAAGCCUGAUCCAGCAAUGCCGCGUGAGUGAUGAAGGCCUUAGGGUUGUAAAGCUCUUUUACCCGGGAUGAUAAUGACAGUACCGGGAGAAUAAGCUCCGGCUAACUCCGUG